rnacentral:pre_miRNA from 1 species
GGCCGUGAUUGUCCAAACGCAAUUCUUGUGCGUUCGCUACCAAGAACUGUGUCUGGACAUCAGGGCU